rnacentral:rRNA from 1 species
GAUGAACGCUGGCGGCGUGCUUAACACAUGCAAGUCGAACGGAAAGGCUCCUGCUUGCAGGGGUACUCGAGUGGCGAACGGGUGAGUAACACGUGGGUGAUCUGCCCUGCACUUCGGGAUAAGCCUGGGAAACUGGGUCUAAUACCGGAUAGGACGAUGGUUUGGAUGCCAUUGUGGAAAGUUUUUCGGUGUGGGAUGAGCUCGCGGCCUAUCAGCUUGUUGGUGGGGUAAUGGCCUACCAAGGCGUCGACGGGUAGCCGGCCUGAGAGGGUGUACGGCCACAUUGGGACUGAGAUACGGCCCAGACGCCUACGGGAGGCAGCAGUGGGGAAUAUUGCACAGUGGGCGCAAGCCUGAUGCAGCGACGCCGCGUGGGGGAUGACGGCCUUCGGGUUGUAAGCUCCUUUCGCUAGGGACGAAGCGUUUUGUGACGGUACCUGGAGAAGAAGCACCGGCUAACUACGUG